AGGAGGAAUGAGAUCCCAUAUCUGAAAGUUUACCUUAUACAAAGGGCUCCAUCUGAGGGCUGAAGAGCAACAGGCUCUUACAGCGAGUUUUGGAGUAAGAUACAGGCUGUGCCACCUGCUAGCUAGGUGAUCAUGGACAAGUUGCUUAAUCUUUCUGAGUCUCAGUUUCUUUUACUGAAAAAUGAGAAUAAUGGCAUCUACCAUAAAUGGGGCCUGUGAUAGGAAAUGAGGCAGUGUGUUAUGUAAAACACUUUGACCCAGUGCCUCAAACACAGUAAGCUCUUGACUAUGUUCACAAUUGGAAUAUGAAUGGCUCAGCAUCACAAUGCCUUAUUCAAACCCCUGGAGGACGGGUGGGUUUAGGGAUUGAGAGUAUCUGAGACAUAAUACAGUGCAUGCAUCCUUUGACUUCCCCAGCAAGACCAGGGGAAACUCUAUAAUCAAACAGUGAUAUUUUUGCAACAAAACCUAACAAUGUUCACAUAAAGUGGCAUAAAGAAACACGAAAUAGCACUCACAUCAUGGUGCGGCAUUCACUGGGCCUGCAUGCUCUUUCAGAAAGUAAAUGCAGAGACUAGGGUUUGCAUUGUGAGCAAGGGGCUGUUUGGAAGAGUGGUAGUCAGUCAGCAUCUGUGCUUAAAUGGGGUGACGUCCAUUUUUCCAGGGGUGGGACCGGAUGUUCCUCCCUUGACUCCUCUUUCUUCGUGUCUAUUUGUUCUGGCCCCGUCUGUGCUCCAGGUGGAGGAGAUGGAAACCAUCUUCAACGUCUUUGCACGCGAGGUCAUCUACCCCUCUCUCAAUGCCCAGCUCAAAAAGGGAUUUCCACUCCCUGUUCCAAGGAACAUCUUCCUCAACAGUGUGGAGCUCCAGAUUCAUGAGGUGAGAAGUGGGACCUGGGGGGGGCUCUAAGCCCUGCUGGGAGGUUGCUUCAGGGGCUGGUGGAGAUGGAAGCAAGCCCUGACCCCCACAUACAACCUGGACCUAAUUUUUAAGAAAAAAUAACAAUCUGUUUCAAAUGUUGGAGUAUAAAUAGCAUCUGUAAUCUGGACUCUUGACUUCAUGUACCAAAACUCAUUUCUCAACAAUCCGACAGUCACUGAGCAUCUGUGACUGCAGGGCACUUUAGCCGUGCACAGCAGGAACAUGGGAAAAGGGUCAGAUGAGAUGCCACUUCUGGGUUGAUGAGGGGCCAUCUGAACAGGCCUAGAAUCUCAUUGGUGGUGUGUGGGUUUCCUUAGUCACUGACCAGCCUUCCCAUCCAUAGAAGCAGGGGAUGGUGUGGAGAAAAAUAGAGCAUGCCUUCUAGGUGGAAGGAACUUAGCAGGGGCAGAGGCAGAAACAACCAGAGCACACUUUCAUAGGCCCAGAGGUACUGUGUGCCAGUCUUUGCUGUUCACAGUGGGGUUUUUUGGUGGUGGUGACAGAGGGAGUUCUUGAGAUUUAACUCAGAGGCACUUUACCACUGCGCUAUAUUCCGGGGCUUUUUUUUUUUUUUUAAUUUGAGACAGGGUCUCACUAAAUUGCUGAGGCUAGCCUUGAACUUGCGAUCCUCCUGUCUCAGCCUUCUGAGCUGCUGGGAUUACAGGCAUGCACCACUACACCCAGCCACAAUAUAUUCUUUCUUUUUUUUUUUUUUAAUGUUUUUAUAGUUGUAGAUGGGCAACAUGCCUUUAUUUAUUUUUAUGCGGUGCUAAGGAUUGAACCCAGUGCCUCACACAUGCUAGGCAAGCGCUUUGCCACUGAGCCACAACCCCAGCCCCUCACAAUAUAUUCCAAGGAAAUCCUGGACAGCAUUUUCCUGGAAUUGAGUAUCACAGGCAACAGCCAAUUGUGACUUAUUUUUCUGGGGGCACAAAUUUUAGAGAAGGAAGGUGACAUUUGUGGGUAUCUGACAGAAAUCAGUAACUUG
rnacentral:lncRNA from 1 species